rnacentral:rRNA from 1 species
CGGCGGACGGGUGAGUAAUGUAUGGGGAUCUGCCUGAUGGCGGGGGAUAACUACUGGAAACGGUAGCUAAUACCGCAUAAUGUCUACGGACCAAAGCGGGGGACCUCCGGGCCUCGCGCCAUCAGGUGAACCCAUAUGGGAUUAGCUAGUAGGUAAGGUAACGGCUUACCUAGGCGACGAUCCCUAGCUGGUCUGAGAGGAUGAUCAGCCACACUGGGACUGAGACACGGCCCAG